GAUGAACGCUGGCGGCGUGCCUAAUACAUGCAAGUCGAGCGAACGGACGAGAAGCUUGCUUCUCUGAUGUUAGCGGCGGACGGGUGAGUAACACGUGGAUAACCUACCUAUAAGACUGGGAUAACUUCGGGAAACCGGAGCUAAUACCGGAUAAUAUUUUGAACCGCACGGUUCAAAAGUGAAAGACGGUCUUGCUGUCACUUAUAGAUGGAUCCGCGCUGCAUUAGCUAGUUGGUAAGGUAACGGCUUACCAAGGCAACGAUGCAUAGCCGACCUGAGAGGGUGAUCGGCCACACUGGAACUGAGACACGGUCCAGACUCCUACGGGAGGCAGCAGUAGGGAAUCUUCCGCAAUGGGCGAAAGCCUGACGGAGCAACGCCGCGUGAGUGAUGAAGGUCUUCGGAUCGUAAAACUCUGCUAUUAGGGAAGAACAUAUGUGUAAGUAACUGUGCACAUCUUGACGGUACCUAAUCAGAAAGCCACGGCUAACUACGUG
rnacentral:rRNA from 1 species